AGGUCUGUAGCUCAAUUGGUAGAGUAGUCGCCUCCAAAGCGAAAGGUUGUAGGUUCGAAUCCUACCAGGCCUG
rnacentral:tRNA from 6 species